UACGAAGGGGGCUAGCGUUGUUCGGAAUUACUGGGCGUAAAGCGCACGUAGGCGGACUUUUAAGUCAGAGGUGAAAUCCCGGGGCUUAACCUCGGAACUGCCUUUGAUACUGGAAAGCUUGAGUUCGGGAGAGGUGAGUGGAACUGCGAGUGUAGAGGUGAAAUUCGUAGAUAUUCGCAAGAACACCAGUGGCGAAGGCGGCUCACUGGCCCGAUACUGACGCUGAGGUGCGAAAGCUUGGGGAGCAAACAGG
rnacentral:rRNA from 1 species